CGGCAUACUUCGGAGAUCCAAACCAGCCCAUAAUCCAUCUCGUGUCGCAGUUCCACUCUACCUGUUUCGUGUGGCUCGCGGGUCCUAGCACCUUACACCUGCUAUAAUUUGUUUCCAUCGACAGUUUCUUAUCUAAUCAAGGACGUGGGUUUCAGUCCUCAAAAAAAAGGACGUGGGUUUGGGAGCUAGCCCACUUACCUAGCCGAACCUGAUUUUUUAUCGAGUGCGUCGCCGGUGAGCGGAUGCAUGUCCGGCGGCGAGAGGUGAGCGGGCUCGUGGCCAAGCGAGCUGCUGACCGUGUCCUUGAUAGCGUCGUUAUCGGCGGGUGAACAGCAGGCUCGUGGUCGGCCGUCCGAAGCGGCGGCGUGGUGUGAUUGGCUUCUACAGAACCGACUCUGAUUGGAGUGGAAGGGGACGAACGGCCUCAUCCUCAAAUUCGGUGCGUGCUGUCGGAUCCCCUUUGCAAGCCAAGACUGAACACAAAAUUGCAUAGAUGUGGCGAUCUGUUCCGCUAGGUAAAAUUUGAUGGCAUGGACAAAUCAAAAAGAAAUUAUGUCUCCAGAUUAGACCUGCGUCUUCCUCUAAUCCUGCUACCAUUCUUUCUUUGUCUUCUCAUAAACGGAGCUACUAAUCAUGUUGUGUGUGUCUAUGAUUCCUCAGGUCCAGCUCCAUUUUUCCUGUUCUGGAAUGCACCAGGUAAUUUUACGUGUUAGUGCAUAGCACGUAUGAAAGUGAGUUGCACACAUUGAAUUUCACUUCUCACGGAGUCGAUUCGUUUGGGGCUAUGUUUUUAUUUGGUUCUAACAGUUUAAAAUUGACAGCAAUUGAUUCACUCCAUGAUGAAACAUAAAUGACGGAAAUCACAUUCACUAAUUUAAUUUCAGUGAUUUUCUUGUGUGCCUUGCGUUACAAUUCAAAUUAACCUGAUAGGAUGCACAAUCAUGUGCUUAUUCAUCCCAUCAUUGUGUAUACACAUUCAAGUGUUGUGUUUGAUAGGAAUUUAUGAUUCCGUUUGGACAAAGCGAAAGCGCACAGCCGUGGGAUGGGUCGGGACGGAUCCCACGGAGUGUUGGGGGCAGACAUGUGCCGCAGCAGAAUGCCGCUCGUGGCAUGGUAUCCCAAUCUCACCUCGUCGCAGAUCCUGUCCUCCUCCAUUUUUCCUGUUCUGGACCCAUCAAAUGUUAACUAUUAUACUAAGCAAUACGCGAUUGAAAUAUGUACAAUUAGAUCUAUCUAGGUUUCAGGUCAUCUCGGGGCAAUGGCGGCUUGGUGGCGGCGUCAAAAGCCUGGUCAGGCCACGUGGCGGGUGGUGGCUGAGGGUGGCCUCGGCAUCGGCGUAAUGGGUGGAGGUUGUGGGCAGAUGCACUGAUUCAGUUCGUGACAGGAAUUGAAGACCACAACUAACAUUAGUAGGCCAAUGGUUUCGAGUCCCUCAAAGAAAUUGUCCACGUCGAGGAAAUCCCAGAACAAGGUUGUUCCUUGCGCUGCUGUUUUCCAUGGAACCCAGCCUCCGAAGAGCAGCAGAGAAAUAAACAUUGAAGUUCGAAACUACCUUCUGCUUUCAAGUUUCCCCUUGUGCAUUCACUCCCUAAAACAAACUGCACUUCUGUAUAUAGGUGGAUAUUUUUAGUCUCGUGUCCUGUCCAUGUAAUGAAAUUGCUUAUGAAUGCUUCCUACUAUUGGCGUCAUCAAACAGAUCAUGUCCGGAAUUGUUGUACUGAAAGAAUGAUCCAUGUCACCUACGUGACAUUUUGUAAUUCACAUUUUUUUUUAUUUCCCAGUGUAUACCAUAAUUUAUAUGAUCUGAUGUUGAUUUGUGUGACAACAUAA